AUGGGCCUGGCCCGUUGGGAACACACGAAUCAGCAGUUCCCCGAGAGCCAGGCCCGAGCAAUGCUUCGAGGCGCAUGUGGGUGGCUCUCUGAAGACGCGUGUCUCAAGUUAAUCCCUCUCUCUCUCCCUAAUCCUCAAUCCCCUCUCUCUGCCUCUACUCCAGAGCGAUCCCGUCCGCCCGUGCUGGACCUGGCCGGAGCACGGCGCCGGGAGGGUUGCUGCCGCUUGCAAAGUGCGACGUCGAGGGCGGGAGGAGCCGCGGCGGGAGGAAGCGGUUGUGCAGCCGCGCACGGCGCGAAGGAAGGUGGUGGUGCUGCUCGGCAGCCGCGCGCGACGGGAGGUGGUGGUGCUGCUCGGCAGCCGCGCGCGGCGGAGGUGGUGGUGCUGCUGCGGGCGCGGAGGGAUGAAGUAGCGCUGCUCGACGAUCGCGCGCGGCAGGUGGUGCUACUGAUUGCCAGUGGUGAGGGCGAGCGCGAGCCUGUGGCGGCCGCGCAGGUGGCUAGUCCGGUGGCCGCCGAGGGCCACGAACUGAUCCCCACCGGCUGCGGCGGCGGCGCGGCGCAUCUUCUUGUGGAAGCCGGCGACAGCGCCGAGGGAGAGCGAGAGGGAGAGGGACACGGCCUGGUCCGCUGCUGGUCUCCGGUGAUUGGUCAUGGACGGACGAACUGCUCUGGGUUGUGA
rnacentral:rRNA from 1 species